UUAAGCGACUAAGCGUACACGGUGGAUGCCCUGGCAGUCAGAGGCGAUGAAGGACGUGCUAAUCUGCGAUAAGCGUCGGUAAGGUGAUAUGAACCGUUAUAACCGGCGAUUUCCGAAUGGGGAAACCCAGUGUGUUUCGACACACUAUCAUUAACUGAAUCCAUAGGUUAAUGAGGCGAACCGGGGGAACUGAAACAUCUAAGUACCCCGAGGAAAAGAAAUCAACCGAGAUUCCCCCAGUAGCGGCGAGCGAACGGGGAGCAGCCCAGAGCCUGAAUCAGUGUGUGUGUUAGUGGAAGCGUCUGGAAAGGCGCGCGAUACAGGGUGACAGCCCCGUACACAAAAAUGCACAUACUGUGAGCUCGAUGAGUAGGGCGGGACACGUGGUAUCCUGUCUGAAUAUGGGGGGACCAUCCUCCAAGGCUAAAUACUCCUGACUGACCGAUAGUGAACCAGUACCGUGAGGGAAAGGCGAAAAGAACCCCGGCGAGGGGAGUGAAAAAGAACCUGAAACCGUGUACGUACAAGCAGUGGGAGCCUCUUAAUGGGGUGACUGCGUACCUUUUGUAUAAUGGGUCAGCGACUUAUAUUCUGUAGCAAGGUUAACCGAAUAGGGGAGCCGAAGGGAAACCGAGUCUUAACUGGGCGUUAAGUUGCAGGGUAUAGACCCGAAACCCGGUGAUCUAGCCAUGGGCAGGUUGAAGGUUGGGUAACACUAACUGGAGGACCGAACCGACUAAUGUUGAAAAAUUAGCGGAUGACUUGUGGCUGGGGGUGAAAGGCCAAUCAAACCGGGAGAUAGCUGGUUCUCCCCGAAAGCUAUUUAGGUAGCGCCUCGUGAAUUCAUCUCCGGGGGUAGAGCACUGUUUCGGCAAGGGGGUCAUCCCGACUUACCAACCCGAUGCAAACUGCGAAUACCGGAGAAUGUUAUCACGGGAGACACACGGCGGGUGCUAACGUCCGUCGUGAAGAGGGAAACAACCCAGACCGCCAGCUAAGGUCCCAAAGUCAUGGUUAAGUGGGAAACGAUGUGGGAAGGCCCAGACAGCCAGGAUGUUGGCUUAGAAGCAGCCAUCAUUUAAAGAAAGCGUAAUAGCUCACUGGUCGAGUCGGCCUGCGCGGAAGAUGUAACGGGGCUAAACCAUGCACCGAAGCUGCGGCAGCGACACUAUGUGUUGUUGGGUAGGGGAGCGUUCUGUAAGCCUGUGAAGGUGUACUGUGAGGUAUGCUGGAGGUAUCAGAAGUGCGAAUGCUGACAUAAGUAACGAUAAAGCGGGUGAAAAGCCCGCUCGCCGGAAGACCAAGGGUUCCUGUCCAACGUUAAUCGGGGCAGGGUGAGUCGACCCCUAAGGCGAGGCCGAAAGGCGUAGUCGAUGGGAAACAGGUUAAUAUUCCUGUACUUGGUGUUACUGCGAAGGGGGGACGGAGAAGGCUAUGUUGGCCGGGCGACGGUUGUCCCGGUUUAAGCGUGUAGGCUGGUUUUCCAGGCAAAUCCGGAAAAUCAAGGCUGAGGCGUGAUGACGAGGCACUACGGUGCUGAAGCAACAAAUGCCCUGCUUCCAGGAAAAGCCUCUAAGCAUCAGGUAACAUCAAAUCGUACCCCAAACCGACACAGGUGGUCAGGUAGAGAAUACCAAGGCGCUUGAGAGAACUCGGGUGAAGGAACUAGGCAAAAUGGUGCCGUAACUUCGGGAGAAGGCACGCUGAUAUGUAGGUGAAGUCCCUUGCGGAUGGAGCUGAAAUCAGUCGAAGAUACCAGCUGGCUGCAACUGUUUAUUAAAAACACAGCACUGUGCAAACACGAAAGUGGACGUAUACGGUGUGACGCCUGCCCGGUGCCGGAAGGUUAAUUGAUGGGGUUAGCGGUAACGCGAAGCUCUUGAUCGAAGCCCCGGUAAACGGCGGCCGUAACUAUAACGGUCCUAAGGUAGCGAAAUUCCUUGUCGGGUAAGUUCCGACCUGCACGAAUGGCGUAAUGAUGGCCAGGCUGUCUCCACCCGAGACUCAGUGAAAUUGAACUCGCUGUGAAGAUGCAGUGUACCCGCGGCAAGACGGAAAGACCCCGUGAACCUUUACUAUAGCUUGACACUGAACAUUGAGCCUUGAUGUGUAGGAUAGGUGGGAGGCUUUGAAGUGUGGACGCCAGUCUGCAUGGAGCCGGCCUUGAAAUACCACCCUUUAAUGUUUGAUGUUCUAACGUUGGCCCCUGAUCGGGGUUGCGGACAGUGUCUGGUGGGUAGUUUGACUGGGGCGGUCUCCUCCUAAAGAGUAACGGAGGAGCACGAAGGUUGGCUAAUCCUGGUCGGACAUCAGGAGGUUAGUGCAAUGGCAUAAGCCAGCUUGACUGCGAGCGUGACGGCGCGAGCAGGUGCGAAAGCAGGUCAUAGUGAUCCGGUGGUUCUGAAUGGAAGGGCCAUCGCUCAACGGAUAAAAGGUACUCCGGGGAUAACAGGCUGAUACCGCCCAAGAGUUCAUAUCGACGGCGGUGUUUGGCACCUCGAUGUCGGCUCAUCACAUCCUGGGGCUGAAGUAGGUCCCAAGGGUAUGGCUGUUCGCCAUUUAAAGUGGUACGCGAGCUGGGUUUAGAACGUCGUGAGACAGUUCGGUCCCUAUCUGCCGUGGGCGCUGGAGAACUGAGGGGGGCUGCUCCUAGUACGAGAGGACCGGAGUGGACGCAUCACUGGUGUUCGGGUUGUCAUGCCAAUGGCACUGCCCGGUAGCUAAAUGCGGAAGAGAUAAGUGCUGAAAGCAUCUAAGCACGAAACUUGCCCCGAGAUGAGUUCUCCCUGACUCCUUGAGAGUCCUGAAGGAACGUUGAAGACGACGACGUUGAUAGGCCGGGUGUGUAAGCGCAGCGAUGCGUUGAGCUAACCGGUACUAAUGAACCGUGAGGCUUAACCUU
rnacentral:rRNA from 7 species